rnacentral:rRNA from 1 species
UCUACGGGAGGCAGCAGUGGGGAAUAUUGGACAAUGGGGGCAACCCUGAUCCAGCCAUGCCGCGUGUGUGAAGAAGGCCCUCGGGUUGUAAAGCACUUUCAGCGAGGAAGAACGCCUAGCGGUUAAUACCCGCUAGGAAAGACAUCACUCGCAGAAGAAGCACCGGCUAACUCCGUGCCAGCAGCCGCGGUAAUACGGAGGGUGCAAGCGUUAAUCGGAAUUACUGGGCGUAAAGCGCGCGUAGGUGGCUUGAUAAGCCGCUUGUGAAAGCCCCGGGCUCAACCUGGGAACGGCAUCCGGAACUGUCAAGCUAGAGUGCAGGAGAGGAAGGUAGAAUUCCCGGUGUAGCGGUGAAAUGCGUAGAGAUCGGGAGGAAUACCAGUGGCGAAGGCGGCCUUCUGGACUGACACUGACACUGAGGUGCGAAAGCGUGGGUAGCAAACAGGAUUAGAUACCCUGGUAGUCCACGCCGUAAACGAUGUCGACCAGCCGUUGGGUGCCUAGCGCACUUUGUGGCGAAGUUAACGCGAUAAGUCGACCGCCUGGGGAGUACGGCCGCAAGGUUAAAACUCAAAUGAAUUGACGG